GCAUUUAUGACCUUUAUGAAAUACUGCUGGUUUUCUUCAAAAGAUGUCCUUGGCUUCCUGUGGCUCUGGGCUGAGGUCUCUUGUCUACAAAGUCACUCCAGAAAACGUGGAAGAGCAUUUUGAGGUCUGUUUCCCCAGGAUCUAACGUCUUGAUCCAGUGGAAACUGCCACACACUGAAGAGGGUAAGUGUUCCAGAAAUCCAUGCAUAAGCCUUAUGUCCUUUCACUCAGAGAGAAACAGCUCACUCUGGCCCACUUCUCCUCAGUACCCAAAGACACAACAUGCUUGCACUGAAGCCCCUGAUGGUCCAUCUCUGCAGACUCCUGAGAAGGACAUGGAGUACAGCUUCUUGUCUCCAGAUAAUUCUCUACACUGCUGGUUUAUAAUCUUCUUGUGUCUCCUAUUACAGACUGUGGUGGACAAGGCACAAGCCCUAGGAUUUCAGAGGUGAUGAAUAGGACCACAUCUGAUGUAUCUCUAGCUUCAGGUACUGAAAUAGCCCUGGGAAACUUGGGCUUAUAGCUCAAUACUAUCUACAUUCUUCCAUAUUGUCAAGCUCCCAUUCCCUGCAGCUAAGUUGGGCCAUACACAUGCCUCUAAGGGAA
rnacentral:lncRNA from 1 species